rnacentral:rRNA from 1 species
GAUGGUUAGAAUUGUAACUUUAUUAGGGUAUUUUAUUAUAAAGAUAAAGGGUGAAAUCUGGUGUUGUUAAGUAAUAGAAUAUAGUUUUAAAGGGUUUUGAGGCCAUUAAGGUUUUGGUAUAGAACAGGAUUAGAUACCCUGUUAUACAAAGUUAAAAGUUAAUCUCUUGAGUAGUAAACAGUUAUAUUCUUGAAACUUAAAGGAUUUGGCGGUAUCUUAGUCUUGUUAGAGGAACCUGUUCUGUAAACGAUACACCACGAAUUAUCUUACUUUCUCUUGUAUCUCAGUUUGUAUACCGCCAUUGUCAGGUAGUUUUUAUAAAAAUCUAUUGUAAGAAUUGUUAGUUAAUAUAUUAGGUCAAGGUGCAGCUAAUGGGAGAGUAGUUAAUGGGUUACAUUAAUAUUGGUUUAUAACGGAUAGGGAGGAUAAGGCUUCUUUGAAGGUGGAUUUAAUAGUAAUUGUUGUUUAAUAAGCUGUACUGAUAGAAGCUCUAAGAUAUGUACACAUCGCCCGUCGCUCUCACUUUAAUGU